rnacentral:rRNA from 1 species
UACGAAGGGGGCUAGCGUUGCUCGGAAUCACUGGGCGUAAAGGGCGCGUAGGCGGAUCUUUAAGUCAGGGGUGAAAGCCUGAGGCUCAACCUCAGAAUUGCCUUUGAUACUGAAGAUCUUGAGACCGGAAGAGGUUAGUGGAACUGCGAGUGUAGAGGUGAAAUUCGUAGAUAUUCGCAAGAACACCAGUGGCGAAGGCGGCUAACUGGUCCGGUUCUGACGCUGAGGCACGAAAGCGUGGGGAGCAAACAAG